rnacentral:rRNA from 1 species
UGGGGAAUUUUGGACAAUGGGGGCAACCCUGAUCCAGCCAUCCCGCGUGUGCGAUGAAGGCCUUCGGGUUGUAAAGCACUUUUGGCAGGGAAGAAACAGCCUGGGAUAAUACCCCGGGCGACUGACGGUACCUGCAGAAUAAGCACCGGCUAACUACGUGCCGGCAGCCGCGGUAAUACGUAGGGUGCAAGCGUUAAUCGGAAUUACUGGGCGUAAAGCGUGCGCAGGCGGUUCGGAAAGAAAGGUGUGAAAUCCCAGGGCUUAACCUUGGAACUGCACUUUUAACUACCGAGCUAGAGUACGUCAGAGGGGGGUAGAAUUCCACGUGUAGCAGUGAAAUGCGUAGAGAUGUGGAGGAAUACCGAUGGCGAAGGCAGCCCCCUGGGAUGAUACUGACGCUCAUGCACGAAAGCGUGGGGAGCAAACAGGAUUAGAUACCCUGGUAGUCCACGCCCUAAACGAUGUCAACUAGCUGUUGGGGUUUAUUAACCUUAGUAGCGCAGCUAACGCGUGAAGUUGACCGCCUGAGGGAGUACGGUCGCAAGAUUAAAACUCAAAUGAAUUGACGGGGUCAUAGCUGUUU